UUAAGCCAAGCGAAGCGAGGGAGAUGCACGGAAAUUGUACUGUAUUGAAAUAAUACGUCAUCUCAUCUACUCUAGUGAUUUCAUAUAGAUUUUCAGUAAUUUGGAUUAAUAAUCAUAAAAGUAAUAAAACAGCAAAAUGCCGGCGGCACGGGGCACGAAACGGACAGCGUCCAAGACUUCUGCUGUCACGGCGUCAUCGGCGCCUAAAAAUAAGAAAAAACGCGGAGGAGCAGUUUUGCUGGAGAUACCCAGCGCCCCCAAAAAGAGGGGUUCAGUGCUAACAUGCGGGCAGGGAGAUGUGGGGCAGUUGGGUCUGGGGGAGGACGUCAUGGAGACUACCGAGUUCCGCCACGUGGCCGGGCUGGGCAACAAGAUAGUGGACGCGCACGCGGGGGGCAUGCACACCAUCGCGUUGGACUGCGACGGGAAGGUGUGGACGUUCGGCUGCAAUGACGAGGGAGCGCUAGGCCGGCCCACAUCUAAUGAGAAGGACGAGGGGACUCCCAAGGCGGUCGCUCUGCCGCAACCCGCUGUGGCCAUCGCCGCAGGGGACUCCCACUCAGCUGCAUUGCUAGACAACGGGGAUGUUUACGCUUGGGGUGCCUUUAGGGACUCCCACGGCAGCAUGGGGCUGAUCGUGCGCGCGCGGGAGGGCAAAGCGUGCAAGGAGCCCGUCAAAGUCGACAUCGGCGAGCAGGCCGUCGCGCUCGCCUCGGGCGGGGACCAUCUCGUCAUGCUCUCUGUGUCGGGUUCAGUGUACACAAUGGGGUGCGGGGAGCAGGGCCAGCUCGGGCGCCUGUCACAGCGCUCCGCCUCCCGGGACGCCAGGCAGGGCUUCAGUGCACUGCUGACGCCGUCCAAGGUGACUCUGAAGGCGGGCGCGUCGCGCAUCUGGGCGGGCUACCACGCCACCUUCGUGCUGGACGCCAACAAGGACAAAGUGUUCGCUUGGGGGCUCAACAACUACGGACAACUUGGUAUAACGGGCGAGAAGCGCAAGACGGCGCUGUUUUCGCCGGCGGAGUGCGACGCGUUCGCCGGCAGCUCGUGGAGUGGCGUCGCGGCCGGCCAGCACCACUCGCUGGCCGUGGACGACGCGGGCCGGGCGCACGCCAUCGGCCGCUGCGAGUAUGGACGGUUAGGAUUAGGUGAUAAAUCGGGCGACGCGGAAAUAUUGGAACCGAUACCCAAGUUGCAGAAUAAGAACUGCGUGAGCAUAGCGGCGGGCACCAGCAACUCCUUCGCCGUCACGAGUAGCGGGGAGGUGAUGUCGUGGGGCAUGGGCAGCGAGGGUCAGCUGGGCACGGGCAGCAGCCAAGACGCGGCCGAACCCACCAGCGCCGUGUGCGCCACGCACCAGGACCGCACGCCCAUCCACGUGUCGGCGGGCGGACAGCACACGGUGCUGCUCGUGGAAGACCCAAACCCUCAAAAAGAACGAUCACCGACGCCGGAAAAAGAGACGCAAGAGGAGAAAACGGAGCCCGUAGAGGAAGAGAAGAAAAAGAGACCGACCAAGAGACAAAAGAAACAAGAGCAGGACGAAGAGAUCACCUCCACAUCAUCCAGCGCGCAGCCAGCCAGCACUGAAGAUGUGCCAGAGGCGAAAAAACCAAAGAAGUCGAAAUCGAAUGUGUCGACGAAAGGCAAAAAGGAGCGACGACGUUAGAAGGUGAAUGGCAAUGAGAAAAAAGCACCAGAGACCCCUAUGGACAUUGACGAUACAGAUAACCCAAAAGAAACCACAGACACAGAC
rnacentral:misc_RNA from 1 species